rnacentral:lncRNA from 1 species
AAAGCUUCUAGCUCCGUGGAUGAUGUAAGGGUUGCUUUCCUGAACAGCCACCACUGCUCUGAAAAAUCAACACAACCUAGACCAAGAAAAACAACAAACUCAAUUAACCAAGAGAGAACAUAGUAGGCACUAACAGGAGAUAAGUGAACAUAUAAUUUUUGGAAUAAUGCUUACCCUACAUGCAAGUUGACUUGCACGAAGACAGUAGCGACAAGCUAAAAGAUCCUUUUCAAGGACAGUAAGUUUAGCCCUCCAUGGUGAUGAUGCAACGAAGGCCUUCUCCCUUUAACAUUAAUUCAAAAGCCUUGUUGAUUUAAGAAAAUGGGUGUGUAUGAGUGAUGAAUUUAUCCAAUUCAAGUUCCUUAUUCAUGUAUUUCUCAACAACAGAAGGAUUAUCCGAACUAGGUUUGUAGUUUCCAAAGAAGGUUUCUGAGAGUCCUUUCAUUCAGAAAGUUCAUAGGGUAUGUCUUGAACAAAGCUUCCUUAUGGCACCAACAAGUACAGCCACUCCCCACCCCUGAUAAUUAAUUACGACAAUGUUCGUUAAGAUAAAUGUAUUAAUAAGAACAUACAAUUAAGGAAAUUUGAUGAUAGAAAACAUACAUCAUGGACACAUUCAAAUGCUGGAAUCAUAGCGCAUCAAUAUGGCCAGUACAUUCCACACUCCUAUCGACUCCACCAUCAGUCAUCUCAGCAAUUACCUGAUCAAAUAAUCAAAAUUCAAGAAAAGAUGAUCAACUAUAACUCACAAUGUCUUUUUUUUCUUUCGCGAAAUGAUCCAUUAGGAGAAGUAUAUAUGAGUACCUCUUGAACUGGUUUACUAUAAUCCUUUGGGUUCACAAACUGUGUCGCACCAAAUUUCUUAGCUGUAAGAAUAAAAGUAAAAUGGAUGAAUUAGUUGCUUUGCUAUGAGACAAGUUACAAGGAAGGAAUUAUAAAAUAAUGGAUCAAGAAUGUGUAAGGCACAAGUUAAUUACCUUGCUCAAAUCUGCUAGCAUUUAAAUCAACACCAAUUAUCCUUGAAGCACCAACAAUUCUUGCUCCUUCUGCAGCCUGACCAAAUGAGAUCAGAUCAUUAGUAAGAUUAACAUAUAUAUGGAUAAAAACAAAACAGAACAAGAAAGUUAUUUGCCAUGUGAAGAAUACUCACAGCAAGGCCUACAGCCCCCAGUCAAAAAAUAGCCACACUUGAACCUUUUGUUGGUUUAGCAACAUUCAAAGUUGCUCCAAGGCUUUCAAAAACAUCUGCAAAUAAAGGAAUGAACGUCCUAUCAUCAGCAUGUGUAAACCACCUCAAUAGAUAUACACAAAAAGGAUUCAACAGCGAGAAAGUAAAAUCUAAUUAGAAUCGGUUAAAGAGGAAUUGAAGCAAGCAAGCACAACAAAACAAAACUAAUCUGACUAGUAUAGCUUCUGAUGGUUUCAUUCCUUGAAUAGGAAGUGAGUCACCUUCAAAGAACAGGAUUAUUUGUAGUGACUUUUUUUUGGGGACUGAUAAGGUAUAACUGAAGUGACUUUUCAAAGAGGAAUGAGUAAUUCUUAUGGAAUAAUCACAGAAGGCCUUUGAUUGUAGCUAUGCAUGUGGCUCCCAAAGCGAUCAAAAUGCUACAGAAAUGCUACAGGAAUGCCCUUCCCAUAUAGUUGGGAAGUCACUGGUUGAAAAGAGACAUCAAAUGGAGCAGGCAAGCUAGCUGAUUUGACCAUUCCACCAUAUUGAUACAUUUUUGAGAUCUUUAAAAAAACUAGAUUCAUGCUAUGAUACGAAGCAUGAUACAAAAAAUUAAUUGUUCUAGAUGCAGGCUUUUUUUGAAACUGGUUUAAAUAUAAUACUGUUAGAGCCAUACAAUAUUCCUCCAUACAACAGUAAGAUGUGAGCUAGAACUGCCAUGAAUUGAAAGAAAACAAUGAAUGGGAGAGCAAAAACCACCUGGAAUAUGUAGUUGGCGUUAACAAAGUUUCCAGAACUUUUGAAGAAUGGAUUCAUCUGGAGAGUACCCCAAAGCUUCUAGCUCUGUGGAUGCAAGGGUUGCUUUCCUGAAACAGCCACCAUUGUUCUGAAAAAACAACACAAACCUAGACCAAGAAAAACAACAAACUCAAUUAACCAAAAGAGAAAAUAGAAGGCACUGACAGGAGAUAGGUACUAACAGGAGAUAGGUGGAACAUAGAUGUCUGGAAAAAUGGAUACCCUACAUGCAAGUUGACUUGGAAAAAUGGAUACCCUACAUGCAAGUUGACUUGCACGAAGACCUUCCGGAGAUUUAUUAGUCAGGAAGGACUGUGCCAUAGUUUAUGAUAAGAGUGUAGGCACCAGUAAACAUGCAGACGCAUGUUAAGAAGAAGAAAUGCAAUAACCUAAACAAGUAAAUUAAAGCAGUUGUGUAUUGGCAAGACUACGAAAAAGAAUUAUUCAAACUACAAUAUACCCACCUCGUCAUCAAUACUUCUGAAGUUUUUGAGAGUCUCUGCAAGAUCUUUAUGCAAACUUUCAAUGGAAAUUUGCCUUGACAAUUGAAGUUCAUACAACCUGUUCAAGUCAACAAGCAGUGAGUAUUCAUCAUCACCAUCACCACCCUGCAACGACAACAAUUGCACAUUUGACCAAGCUGCAUCAAUAGAACACAGUCACCUUCAAUUUGUUAAGGGCACAUACAGCAACUUCUAUUAUAGCAGAUUUAAGUUUGAUAAUGAGCUCAUCUUCAAUCCCCUUUGAUUUGUUAAGGACGAAGUCCUGUAACUCCCCACGACUCUCAGUAGCACAGAAGUUCAAUGCUUUUACACAAGAUUCUACGAGCUUCCUUCUCACCAUUCUGAAAAAAUGCCUCUUUCACCAGAAGGACAGAAGAUUUAAAAUCCUGGAAAAGCAAAAGAAAACAGCUUUUAGUUACCAGUUCAAAAAAAUUUAUUUCAUAUUGGCAAUCCCCUAUACAGUUCAUAAUCCUAAUAAGUUCCACAAAUGCACCUGAAGGAAGACUUGGCAGACAUCUGUGGGAGCAUUUAAUGAAAUUUUCCAUCUUAAAUACUACACUUCUCCAUACUGCACUAAUGCCUAUUUCUGGAACAAUGAUACGUUGAUAAUGAGCUCAUCUUCAAUCCCCUUCAAUUUGUUGAGGGUGAAGUCCUGUAACUCCCAACAAAUCUCAGUAGCCCAGAAGUUCAAAGCUUUUAUACAAGAUCUCAGAGCUUCCCUCUCACCAUGCUUAAAAGAUGCCUCGUUCAUCAGAAAGACAGCAUAUUUAAAAAUCUGGAAAAGCAAAAGAAAACAGCUUUGAGUUACCAGUUCAAAAAAAAAUUAUUACUUCAUAUUAGCAAUCCCAUAAAUAGUUCAUGAUAGUAAUAGGUUUCACAAAUGCACCUAAUCUUGUCUUUUAAGAGAAUAGAGCUCUAGGUUCAUAUGAACAAUGAGUUCAAGAAGAUAGGGAAUUUUUGCUUUGUCAGACAUAAAUUUGGGCAUAAGCUGUGGAUAAUUCCUCAUCAUAGCAAUGGUUAUAUCACGCAUAGAACUUUCAAACACGUCCUAGCGAUUACAGCAUAAGCAUUCAAAGAAUUCAGUAUCCUGGAGUAGUAUGGCGGAACAACACCAACAUAAUUUGUCAUUGACAAAGAACACUUAAGAAGGAACCUUACCAAAUUACCUCAAACAAUCAUGUUCAAUAGUCCAGCCAUUGCAGCUUUCGGAUCCUUCUCAUAGUGUUCCACCCAAUGCUUGGUCUUUUCUCAAACAAUAGCGACUAGCUAGAAGCUCCUUUUCUAGGACAGUAAGUUUAGUCCUCCAUGGUGAUGAUGCAACGAAGGCCUUCUCCCUUCAACAUUAAUUCAAAAGCCUUAUUGAUUUCAGAAUAUGGGAAGUGUAUAAGUGAUGAAUUUCUCCAAUUCAAAUUCCUUAUUCAUGU